CUUCUCUGGAGUUUUGCAGUGAGCCCAGGACACAGAGGUGAUCUGAUCUGAAUAUAAACUAGCUCAGAGUUCACUUCAGAGAGGACCCCAGCAAUUUCUGACCAACGCUUUCGGGAGCAAUGUGGUUGCCUGUGUGUCAAAGCUUUCUAGGACUGGUUUCACUUGCUUUAAUUGGAUUACAUAGAGGGAGAACUUUGCGUUCAAGAAGAUCUGCUUUAAUCUACAAAUUUCAGCAACAAAUUAGAAGGAACACCUGCAUGACCAUGGGUAACACUGAAAUUUAUAAAUGUUGACACCACAUCACAUUUAUGAAGACUCAGUGUGAAGGAAGACUCCUUUCCUGGGAGCACAAAGACUUCUGCUGCCAUUGCUACUGAUGCUUGUCAUGCAGCUGACUCCUGAGGGUUCACAAUGUGGGAUUUAAAAACUGAAAAUGGGCAUUCCUGCCAUGCACAGAGCACUGAAUGUCUCAUACAGGUUGGGAAAAUUCUUGCAUCUCUCAUUUGCUUUUGCCACGUGCAUCUGGGCAACUACUGUAUCAUAUCACCAAAAUCUUUUUAUUCAGUACUUCUUUCCCUUUCUGUAAUUGUUUCUUUUCCUUCUUUGUUCAUGGAUAAUUCCAUAGUGUAUACAUGUUCCUUGGGACCCUUGACAACAUUUUCUGCCUCUUCCACUGCUAUGCAUCCAGACCUGAUUUCUCCUCCUGCAGUAGCAAAGUUUGUUUCCUAACAAUACUGUAAACUCUUCAAAUAACCAAACUGCUUGUAAAGCAUCAAGCCCAAGGCAAGAAAGUGGAAAAAUAUCUAAGAAGAAAUAGAGAGAAAAUAAUGUAAGACCCAUAGUUUUUUUUCUUCCAUGGCAAAACAGUGGUAGCAGGUAUCAUCUGCCCUAGUUUUGUGCCUUGCACAUUGUUGUGGGACCUUGUGGCAUGCUGAAACACUUCAAGAACAUGAAUUAAAAUUGUUGAGAGAUCUUGAAUAUAAUUGGUCUUGUAUGGGCCAGGAAGAUGUAUUACAUUACUUACCUGGGUCCUUCCUAAAUGUUCGGUGAGUUUACAAUCCUCUAACAAGUGUUAUGGCUUUUGUUAAUAGAAGGUUCCAGGAAACAAGUUCUCAAGCAGACUUUCUGAUGAAAUUGUUUUCUGCUACCAGUAUGGUGAAGGACAAAACUCAAAACUAAUCUCCAAACCCUUGAAAUGAGGUGAUGAGUUUCUUAGCAACCUGCUCUGUGUUUGAGAUCAAAGGUCACCGUGGUCUAGAACCUGAGCAGAAAACAAAAUAAAAAGAUGCACUUAAUGACUUACCAGCUGAAAAAUGACUUGUGUUCCAAUUAGAAUGAGACACCAUCCAUGUUUUCUAUCUGCAAGUGGGCAUUAGGAGAAAUGCUGACUCCAGAGAUUGCUUUGUGUGCGUUUUACAAGUGAUGAAAACUAUUUUAAUUUAUU